rnacentral:rRNA from 1 species
GAUGAACGCUGGCGGCGCGCCUAACACAUGCAAGUCGAACGAUUAAACCGCCCUUGGGCGGAUAUACAGUGGCGAACGGGUGAGUAACGCGUGACCAACCUUCCCCCCGCAUCGGGACAACCCGGGGAAACCCGGGCUAAUACCGGAUAUGCCGGGUAUGGCGCAUGUCAUACCCAGGAAAGCUUUUGCGGCGGGGGAUGGGGUCGCGUCCCAUCAGGUAGACGGCGGGGUAGUAGCCCACCGUGCCAACGACGGGUAGCCGGGUUGAGAGACCGACCGGCCACAUUGGGACUGAGAUACGGCCCAGACUCCUACGGGAGGCAGCAGUGGGGAAUCUUGCGCAAUGGGGGAAACCCUGACGCAGCGACGCCGCGUGCGGGAUGGAGGCCUUCGGGCCGUGAACCGCUUUCAGCAGGGAAGACAUUAAGGACGGUAC